rnacentral:tRNA from 1 species
GCGAGAGUGGCGGAAUUGGCAGACGCGCCAGCCUUAGGAGCUGGUGCCCGUAAGGGUGUGGGGGUUCGAGUCCCCCCUCUCGCA